GGGCUAGUAAAGGUUUCGACAGGGGUCUUGCAGCUGGAGAAGCUAUCCGUAUGCAAUGCGUUAAAUGGCAAACCUAAAUAUAAACGCUGAAGAUAAUACUCAGUUUGCAUUCGCAGCGUAAGCUGUGAGUGACGUCGCCUGAGGGCGGCUUGUUCCGCCUGCUGCACUCACACAGCGGGGCCGGGGCAUCAUGAUUGUGAGAAACGACACAUGCAAAGCUUUGAGCAUGCGGGCGUAAUAUGAAGCUACCGAAACAGGCAGGUUGUUCGUUUCCUGUCUGCGGAGGGAACAGGGAGCUUCGGGUUCCCGGGAUAACGGACUAUGAUAGUAGAAGGACAGGGAAUGGACUUUUGGACACGGGUUCGACUCCCGUCUAGUCCACUA
rnacentral:tmRNA from 1 species